GGGGCCUCGAGCUUGCUUAUUCAGGGCCUCGGGAUCGAGUCUGAUAUCUCACCAAGGGUAGUCGAUUGAUGACUAACAGUUAUAAUAAAAUCAAUGAUGGCUAUUUAUGGCCAAUAAUGAGCAAUAAAUGAAGAACAAUAAAUGAAACACAGUGAAUAUAAGUAAUAAAUAUAAGUAAUGAGAUCAAGGGAAUAUGGUUGAGAUUAGAGAUAAUGUUCUUGUGUAUUCAAUAUUGAGAAAUAGAUCAUUUACAAAAUGACAAGGAUGCCCUUUAUAUAUGACAGAGAAUUCCAACAUAGUACAAAUGUAUUUAUUACAAAGAUAUAGAGUCGGUACAACUAUUUAAUGCCAUGGUGCGGGCCUGGACUAGCAUAAUAGGCUUCGUCAGCUCUGGUCACAUGCUUUGGGAACAUCACAUCGAGCCACCGAAGCUACUGGUUUACACUGCCUCGAGGCUGGUCGUUGUGAGCCCUUGAAGUCAAUCACUGGGAGACCUCGAGACGCCUUGAUGAUCGUAAAAUCGAACCGCCGAUUUUUACUGCAUACAAUACAGUGAAAACAAUAUCAAAGCGGUAAAAGAUGGCAUUUAACACAGUACGCUCAAACAUGUAAUAAAAAUUAGAUAAUAAAAGCCAAGUAUAACAGUUAUUCUAAACUCGAAUUCUUGAACCCUGAACCAGAGAUUCUGGGUUCUUGUCCCCAGCGGAGUCGCUAGAGAUGUCACACCUCUUUUUUACCCGAGGGUGUAUAUAAGGGAGUUUUUCUAAUUAAAGUGACAUUAUUUGAAAUAGGAUUAUUUUAUUUAUUUAGGAUCGUCACUUGGGAUAUUUAUUAUGGUGUCCCAAGUCACCGGUUUAUUUAAAAAUCGCAUAUCAAGGAAAUUUGACUUCACUUAAAAGUCUGCAAAACCAGAAAAAACUAUAUAAGGAAUUCUAUUAACCCGGGAGAAGGUGUUAGGCAUUCCCAGGUUUCGUAGUUCUAGCACGAAUGCUUAACUACUAAUAAUUGACCUAAUUAUAUAAUUAAUUGCAUGUUUUAAACCUAUUAUGCAUUUUUUUAACUUUGUAACCCCUUUUAAUUAUUUUAACCCACUUUUAGGAUUUAUGGGAUUAUUUCUUGAAGAAGUCAUGAUUAUCGUACACUUGCCAUUUUGGAACAUAUUGUAAACCAUGCUACAUUAAAUGCACCCGCGAUUUGCGAUAUUUUUAUUUUAUUAUUAUUCACAAUUAUUAUGGUCGGGUCACAUAAAAUGCACACCCGAAUCGUGCCUAAACCAAAACUACGAUGUUCAAAUUACAUCCUAAGCUAUUAUGAGAUUAUUGUAAAAGUCCAUGGCAGCAUGUAGGGUAUUUUUGCUACUUGGGGUAAUCUAGCCUUAAUUGUUAUAAACUUAGAAUAUGAGAAAAUGAGCCCAAUUGACUAUUUGUAAAACAGGCCCAGUCGCGACUAUGAAUUGACUGGGCCUUUCGUGGUUAUGUUUUUCAACAACGAAAAAUUGCCUAAAAUAUACAUUGUCCAAGUCCAGACUUGGUUCACACAAGAGUAAUAUCAGAAAACUAUUGCAUUAAACUUUUAAAAUUAGCUAUACUACUAUGAUUUCUAACAACCCACAUAAAAUUAGAAUUAUGUUAAUUUCAGACAAAUAAGUUCAUAGUUGGGGGCCAAGCUAUUGGGCUUAGUACCCAGGCCUAGUUUCCUCACAUUGGACAAGGCUUGCACGUACAUAGAACUUGCAUGCUUGCUCGGCCCAAUACACUUAAACUAAAUGAUGAUGGGGAGCUAAGAGCAGAUACAACAAUUACCCAUAAAAUAGAAUUUACAAAGGAAAACAAAUUCGCUAUGCUUUACGUGAUAAUAGCAAUGGGAUAUGAUUUGAGUACCAAUAUCAACACAAUAAUCCCAAAUUAUGCAAACAAUCUCUUAUUAAAUUACAAUCAUCCUUGGGCUUAAAUAUUCCCAUAAUAGAAUUACAGAAUACAUUAUUUAAUACUCCUCUUAAUCUCAUUCUUUCAAACUCAAAACUAUAUGGAUUCACAAAGCUGCUACUCAUAUGAGGCCUUUUACUAUAAUGACUCACCUAAAUCUCAAGCUAACAGUCCAUAUCAUGUUGUGACUAGAUCCUGCGUACUUAUGCCAUAAGAUGAAUUACUUUUGAAAAUAUUAGGCAAAGGUAAGGUGAAUCAAAACACCAAACUAGAAGUAUCAAUAGCAGAAAACAAAUUAAUUUAUCCCUAAACCAGUUCUAAAACUGAGCCGUACAAAAUAGAUUCAACCAGGGCAAGGAGUUAACAUCUAUUAACUACUUAAUAGAAAACAAAAGGUAGUGUAGUAAUUAUAAGCAAACAUUUUUCAAUUCAUAGUAUUACUUUAUUCAAAUAGAAGCCCAAAUAUUCAUUCAUGACACAUAUGAACAGCAUAAAUCACAACUUGAACAAAACUGAUGGUCCACAAGGAUUCAACAAUUUCAUAGUCAUUUAACAAAGCAUAAUACAAGGGAUUUGUGGACUGACCUAGCUGGCUAAUAGAUAAACAAAGAGAAGUGGAAUCCAUCCCAAGUAAAAGAUCCCAGCAGCAACUUUCUGCAGUAGAACCAGAAAUUCAAACAAUCAAUCGAACUUGUAUAUCCAAAAAGGUGAAGCAGAAAAAUAGAGAUGGAGAAAGCUUGAAAUCCUCUCUAUUUUUUGGUUUUUUCUUGUGUUUGAAUUUAAUUUUCAGAGUGCUUUUUUUUAGAAAAUCAGUGAGUAUGGAGAGUCAGGCUUAUUCCUUCUAUAGGCUGCACAAAGAGAGCAUAAAAAAAGAAUAUUCUACCCUAGAAUUCUGAAAUGUCAGAUAGUACAACUUCUUUUAACAGCUGUUUGUCCUUUUUUCUAGCCAAUUUAAGCAUUUUCAUGCUAAAAUGGGCACAGUUGUCCAAUACUAGAACUUUCUCAUAUUUUCCUCAUUUUAAAUUCCCAAUUUUACCCUUUUCAGUUUUGUUUAUUGCAAUUUCAACCCAAUUUGACCUAAUUCUAAUUGUGAUUACCCAUUAACCCCUUCUAGAACCUAUUAGAACAAUCUAGGCAAAUUCAGACUUUUCUUGAAUUGUUUUUCAAUUAAGCUCCCCCCAAAACCUUUGUUAUUAUCUUUUCCAUUCUUUAAACCAUUUAAACCUAAAAUCAAUCAUCUGAAUUAAGGCAACCUAGCUAAAACCAUUCUGAUUUAAGACCUAAACCAAUAAUUGAAAUAGGACGUUUAUUUAAUUAAACCUACUAAACCCAAACAAAUUUAAAUUCAAAACAACAAAAAUGGUAGAAAAACAGUAACAAAAUGGUGAACAAAAAUAAUGAUGCUAUAAAACCUAAUAAUUAAUCCUAAUUAAUCAAAACUUGAUGCAAUUAACCUAACUUACAAAUAAUUAAACUGCUUUUUGUUAAUCACCAUGUUUAACAUGUUCGAACAAUUUUUUCAGAAUUAACCUAACAGUGAAUUCAAACACUAAUUAGUCUAAACACACGGCAAAACACAUGCAAUAUCAUCAAAGCAAAAAGAUAUAGACGGAAAGAAAUCAAGAAAUAUACCUAAAGAAGAACUCUAUCGAAUCAGAACAACUUCGAAAUAGAUCCAAAAACUAAGUUAAUUAAUUGUUCUUGUUGAGAACGAUCAAUUAACGUAGGUUAUAAUCCAAAUCGAGUCUUGAAAACUCGGAGCAAAUCAAAAAGGGGGAAAACUAGGUUUGUUCUUAGAUUUGGGAUUCGAAGAAAUCAACAGGGAAUUUAUGGAAAUGGAUGGUAGCAUAGUGAUGAGUGGAGGCUUGGGAUUGUGGAGUGUGAUUUUGGGUUUUUCUGGGCGGCUUAGGGUUUGGUUAAAAUCUCAUAUCUUAGAUUGAUGAAAAUCGGCAGGAAUUUUGGUGAAAAUGUUAAUGGAUUACGUUUGAGGGACUGUGGGUAGUGUGGGGUGUGAAUUUGGGGUGAUUUGGAGGUGUUCCGCCACCGUAGUGCGAUUUUUUGGCGGCGGAGACGGCGAAGGAUUCAAAGGCAGCUAAGGUUUGGUGUUUUGAGAGAGAUGAAAUGGAAUGAGUGGGGGGGGGGGGGUCUUUGGGGUAUGAUCUCUUCGGACACUUAAAAUGAGAUAGGGUUUGGAGUUGUGAGUCGUUGGAUCAAAAGAAUCCAACGGCUAGGAUUAAAAGAUGAUGAAACGGCGUCGUUUAGGUGUGAGGUGUGGGGGGGGGGGGGAGAUUGGACCAGGUAUGGGGAGUAUUGGGCUUAGGCGAAACUGAGUAAAAAUAGAAUUUGGGCCAAUGAAUUUUGCUUUGGGUGGCCCAAAAAUCAGAACCCCCAAACAAAUUAUUUCUCAAAUUUUCUUUUUCUUUGUUUUUCCUUUUCUUUUCUUUAAUUUUAAAUACUUAACUAAAUUAAUUAAAAGUCCUAAAUUAAAACCUAAAUUAAUCUAAUCUGUAAAAUCAAACUAACCAUCUAUUUAUAAUAUUUACAAAAUUAAUUAAUCCUAAAUUGAUGAAGAGAAAAUUUAAUCUAAUACUAAAAGUUAAAAAUGUAAAAUGAACAAUAUUUUUUUUUUGUGAUUUUUAUUUUAGUAAAGCAAUUAAUUAACUAUUUAAUCCUAAAAUACGAACACAAAACCUAAUAUUCAAUGCAUAAAUUUUUACGUUUUGUGGUAUUUUUCAUGAUUAUAACAAAAUCAAAUGUGCACAGAAAUGCAAACAAUUAAUAAAAUCCUACAAAAAUUCUAUGAAAUUAAAAAAAAUUAUAAAAUCUAUUUUCUUUACUUUUUGUAGGAGUAUUUCUAGUAGGGCAAAAAUCACAUGCACGUUUGGUAUGUAGUAUAGGCGCAUAAAUAGUGCCUCAAUUUUUGAGCUAUCUAUGUCAAGGUGCAGCAGGUAUGUUCCAGCAAAGAAUACCAUGCUUCAUAAGGUGUGAACUUCUUAUUCCAGUAAUAUAUGGUCUACUAUUUUCUUCCCAUCUCGUCAUGUUUCCCCAAAACACAACCGAAAGCCCCAUCUAGUACGGACAAAUAUAAUAGCAGAGGUUUACCAGGUUCUAGCGGGACCAAGACUGGUGGCAUGGAUAGGUAUUCCUUGAUUUUGUCAAAAUCUUUCUGGCAUUUUUCAGUCCAUUUUCUUGCAGCACCUUUCUUUAAUAUUUUGAAAAUUGGCUCACAAAUCACGGUUGACUGUGCUAUGAUUCAGCUGAUGUAAUUGAGAAGCCUUAAGAAACUCAUCACAUCUUUCUUGCUCUUCGGGGUUGGCAAAUCUUGUAUGGCUUUGACUUUUGAGGGGUCCAAUAGCAAUUUUCAGUAGGGACUCCGAAAGCACACUUUGCAGGAUUCAGUUUCAGAUUGUACCUUCGAAGUCGAUUAAAGAAUUUCCUUAAAUCUGCUAUAUGAUAUGCGCUUCUUCUGGAUUUUAUAAGGAUAUCAUCUACGUAUACCUCUAUUUCUUUGUGAAUCAUGUCAUGGAAAAUGGUCUUCAUGGCUUUCAUACAAGUGGACCUAGCAUUCUUCAGGCCAAACGACAUUAUUUUGUAACAAUACAUUCCCCAUAGAGCGAUAAAGGUUGUUUCCUCGGCAUCAUCCUCAUCCAUCCAGAUCUGAUGGUAUCCCCCGAAGCAAUCCACAAAGGAUUGGAGUUCAUGCUUGGCAUAGUUGUGAAUCAGUAUAUGUAUAUUGGGCAAUGGAAAAUCAUCUUUGGGACUUGGUUUGUUUAAAUCUCGAUAGUCGACACAUACUCUGACCUUCCCAUCCUUCUUUGGAACUGGCACGAUGUUGGCUAACCAAGUUGGAUAUUCGACCACUCUGAGAACUUUGGCUUUGAUGUGCUUGGAAACUUCUUCUUUGAUCUUCAGGCUCAUAUCAAGUUUGAACUUUCUUAGUUAAUGUUUUAUGGGCGGACACAUCAGAUCGGUAGGUAGUUUAUGAGUCACUAUAGACGUGCUCAAACCAGUCAUAUCAUCAUACGACCAUGCAAAAAUGUCCUCAUACUCCUUUAGGAAAGAGGUGUAUUCUUCUUUUUCUGAUAGUGACAAAUGGAUACUUAUAUGGGUUUCUUUGACUAUUUCAGAAUCUCCCAAGUUGACUAUCUCAGUUUCGUCCAAUUUUUGGUAAUUACGACGCUUCAUGAGCACGUUUUCAUAGGCUCAAGAUUAUGGUUGAGAUUAAACCCGAGGGAUUAUCGACAUCCAGCCUCGGGGUAGUGCAGAUCGAUAGUCAUGAUUGAAAAAUGGGAGGCUCCCAAGGCAUGUGACUAAAGCUAACCUAGUCUAUUUGGCUAGUUUAUGUCCGUACGGUGGCAUUAAAUGGUUGUACCAACCCCAUCUCUUUGUAAUAAAUGUAUUUGUACUAUGUUGGGAUUCCCACUCAUAUAGAAAGGGGAUCCUUGUCAUUUUGUAAGACAUCUGUUACUCAAUAUUAAAAUGCAAAAACAUUCUCUCUACUUUCUAACAUAUUCUCUUGAUCUCAUUUCUUACAUUUAUUGCUUAUAUUCAUUGUGUUCUAUUUAUUGUUCUUCAUUUAUUGCUCAUUAUUGAUCAUAAAAGUAUUCCAUCAAUGCUAUCAUAACUGUUAAUCCCCCAUCGAUUGCCCCUAGCUGAGCAUCCGACUCGACCUCGAGGCCCGUAUACGCCAACUCGAUGCCCCUAUUUCCAACCAUUCGGUUUGGUCAUUAUACUAUCUACAAACACUUAUCUCAUUUUCUAAUCAAUUACUUAGCAUCUAUUACCUAAACAACUAGAAUAAAAUAGAUCACGUAAUUUUAGAACCACAAAAUCAAAUCUAAUUGUAAUUACCAUUUUCAAGGUAAAUAGUUUGGCGCCCACCGUGGGGCUAAGAAUAAUACUGAUUAUUUUCUUUUUGGUUUGCUACAUAACGCAAGUUACCUUUCACACUUUUUCUUGUCCAAGAUCUUUGAUUUCCGGUAAGAAUGUUUAACUCAUUAAACGCACGUGAAAACAAUAAUCUUGAGGACCAUGGGGAGAAUGGUGUGGAUGUUCCAGGUGUUGGUGUACCACCACGAAACCCUGAGAAUGCACCAGAACCAAUUCCCAUGGACGUGGUCUCGCGCAACGCUCAGCUCGUCGAAAUAAGCUCCCAUACAAACAGGAGCAUACACCAAGAAGAUCGAUAAGAAGCUCAAAAAUCCCCAACUCAGGAAGAACAAGGGGUUAGCCCUCACGUCAUCUUCAAAAUGCUACAAGCACAACAACAGGUGAUUGCUCGGCUGUAAAGCCAAAAAACAUCCCGAACACUCGGGAACUGGGAUCAACAACUAAAAACCGUAUGACCUCCAGGUCAGAGUUUCAAACUCGUAAGCCCUCAAUGAGGCAACAUCAGGUUCACAACACGACUCCAGAGCCAAAUACGUCCCGAACAUUCGGGGAUUGGCAUCAACAACUUGAAACCGUACGACCUCCGGGUCGGAGUUUCAAGCUCGUAAGCCCUCAAUGAGGCAGCAUCAAGUUCACAAAAAUGUUCCAGAGCUAAAAACUUUCCGAACAUUUGAGGACUGGCAUCAAAAACUUGAGGACGCAUGACCUCCGAGUCGGAAUAUUAGAACUCGUAAGCCCUCGAUGAGGCAAUAUCAAGUUUUCAAUGAAUGUCUCCCGAGCCAAGAAACUUUUGACGACUCAGGGACUACCGCUAACCGCCACCCCCAUCGACUUAUCAAACACCUGCGGUCAUAAGACCCCAUAUGGGCAGCCUCAGUCUUGCAAGACCUGUAUAAGGUAGCAACAAAAACUAUAAGACCUCAAGCAAGGCAUGAAUCAUACUUGUACCAAGUAACCAAAACUCUAAGACCGCAAGCAAGGGAUGAACCAUACAUGUACCAAGUAACCAAAACUGUAAGACCUCAAGCAAGGCAUGAACCAUACUUGUACCAAGUAACCAAAACUAUAAGACCUCAAAGGCAUGUAAAAAUUUGUAAGACCUUACAAAAGGCAUAAUCUCGAUCUUAAAGUUAAGGCUAUAUAUUGAACUUGUAAGACCCCUAAAAAGGCAUACACUCGAUACAGAUGUCGAAACUACUUCAAUCAGGAACUGAAAGGCUCCGGCCAAACAUAAUGAUUAUGGUCAAAAGGUUGUACUAGCCAAACUACCACGACUCGGGGACUCCCGACCAUCGCUAUAAAAUCAUAGGCCUUCAAUUACAUCGAAAGUACUUCGAAAAGAACCGGUUAAACAGCCUACCCUCGACAUAGGCAGAAGAGCUUUGGCCAUGUCAGCUCCAAACUAUAGGCUUCGCGAUACUCAGCCAUCGAGACAAACCUCCCGAGGUGAUCGAUCAUCACCAUAUAACGACUCACAAUCGAGGUUUUUAUCAUACCAUCGAAGAGUCAGGCAAACACAAUUUCAAAAGACCUUAACGAGGGAAAAAUAAAGUCUACUAGAGGUUGUACCAACCUAAUGCGUAAGAGCCACUGCUGCCAGCCCAUACUAAAGGUCAUACCGACCCAAUGCGAAAGAGCCACUGCCGUCAGCCCAUAUAAAAGGUCAUAUCGACCAAACGCAUAAGAGCCUAAGGGCCAACAUUAAAUUCAAAAACUUAAGGUUCAAUGAGCCCGAGUCGAAACCCAACUCGGAGAGUGAACCCGAAGCAGUUAACUAAAAAUGCCUAAGAGCUCAAACGCCAACUUAUACUGAAUGGUCGUACCAACCAAGUGUGUAAGAGCCUACGGGCUAGCCCAAUGAGCCCCAGGGCCAUACUAUGAAUCUGAGGAUUCCUUUUAACUCAAAGACCAAUUCAUCUAGCCAACAACUGACAAAUAUCAAGGCAAAAGGAAACGCAUGAGAAAUAAAACCGCGAGGCAUCUUUUUAUACAUAUAUGUGAGAGAAUACAAGCUUCAUUUACAAAUUUCUUUGAAAGCACUAUACACAAAACAAGAAAGUAAGGGCCUAAUCUACGUCCCCAUCGGGGACUAUGGUCCGUCGGCCUCUUUCUCUCCAUCUUCAGUAUCAGACAGAAGGAGCUUAGCACCAUAUUCUCCCGCCUUUGCCUGCUUUAUCUCUUCCGAGAGGUCGUAGCCCCUGGCAUGAAUUUCCUCGAGUGUUUCACUCUGAGAUUUGCACUUCACGUACUCUUUGCUCCUACUCUCAUGGUCCAAAGCCCCCCUUAGCUCAACACGAGCGUUGGCAGUGUCCUUCAAAUAGAUAGCCACCUUCUUAUCUGCCUUAGUUUAGAUUACUUCGGCUUCAGCCCGGGAAUCCACGUCUUCGGCCUUCACCUUCAGGAGCUCAGACUCGAGCCUUGAAAUAAUGUCCGUUCGGACCAAGGUAUUCUCGUUAGCAUUGCAAAAUUGCACUUCGAGGGUGAAAGCCUUGGCCAAAACAUCUUUCUUAGCCGAUAUAUGGGUAUCCAUCCGAGCCUUUAGCUCAUCAUGCUCGCACUUAGCUUGACCAACUUCGCUCAUAAGGCAUUCCAGGUCCUCUGUCAUUUUUUGCAACUGAAGUAGACAAAACAUUAGCCUCAAAAGGUAGAAGAAGAAACACGCACACCCUCAAAACAAACAUUACAUGCUCCUCAAGGUAGCUUUCGUAGUUCAGGCUUCGACUCGCCUCAUACCGCAAGUGUACAAACUCGUCUUCCCUUUCAUCACAAAGAAGCCUGAGGGAUUUUUCCGCAUCCAUGGCUUAUCGCAACCUGGUUUCACAGUAGAGUAGCUCAGACUUGAGCUUGUUAAAAUCCUAUGAAAGAAGAAACUCGUUAAGAGAGUAAAAUUUACAAAACUAUAAAACCAAUACGGAUGGCCAAAACACACCUUAGUGUAGAGCCGUUGAGCUUCCUUGAAAGUUGAGAGCACAUCUACUAGUCUGGCUCGAUCUACCCCGGUAGAACCGCCCCUCGUUGGGAUACAAUCCCCUGAUAUAUGCAGCCCCCGGCGUCAAACAUCCCUCGAAGUGCCUUCGAUAGGAGAAUAAGUCAGCGGCAGAUAACCCUCGUUCCUCAAAGUACCUUCAACUAUAUAAGAUGACGAUGGAGGGGGAGGGAUCAUUUUUCUAAAACUAGAAAUCUCGAGCGCUGAAGAUUCGGCUAAUACGCCCUCUUUGAACCUUCGGGCUGGACUAGUCUUGCUAUAAUCACCGUCGCCCUACGAAGGCCUUUCUUGCUUAUUAUUAUUAUUAUUAUUAUUAACCCUCACUCCUAAAGCCAACAAUCCUUCUCCCUCUCUUAGAGGGCACGAUCUUGCCUCAAAGAACUCCCCAAUGCCUAUGAUGACGGAGUUAGUACGCAUAAAAGAAAGUGCCUUUCAAAAAAGGAGCAAAUUGCAUAGCAAGUACGUGGUGUUUUGCCUCCCAUCUACCCUUAGACAAAGCUCACUAGUUACGCUCAUUAUAAAUCGAGUGGGUCGCCAGCUGCUGAGCCCAAUUCGUCAGGUCAGGGACCUCGCAUGACAUCCAUGAAAUUGCUACAGAAAGGGAAAGGAAGGCGCAUUUACGGAGCCUGCCUACGCCAUAAGCAAAACUACAAAGGCAUAAGUGUACCACUUACGUGUAAAAUUCCAUUCCUCAGGAAAUGGAAGAAACUCCACAGGGAUAAUAUCGAUAGUCCGUGCUCGGACAAACCAGCUCAUACAUCCCCGAUCCCCCUCUUCUUCAUCAUCAACAACGAAAGGCGUGGUGUAUCGGCAUUGUAGGGUUAGUAGACCUCGAUGGUCAAAAGGCUGGUAUAGCCUGAUGAGAUGACUAAGAGUGAAUUCAAGACAUGCUUCUUCUGCAAAGAACCUAAUCAUCAAUACUAUCCUCUAAAAUGACGGGUGAACCUAUGCCAAGGUAACCUGGUACUUUCAACAGAAGUCGAUCUGGGGGGCCAGCGUAAAGGGGUACAUGUACACGUUCAAAAGCCCCUCGAUGUGAUCCGUGAUGCUCUCUUUCGGGGAAGGUGCCCGCAAUACUACCUUCUUCCCCCAUACACAAUCUUUCCUCAGUGACUCAAGGUGCCCCUCUCCUAUUAAAGAAACAAACUUCGAGACAUACUCCCAAUGACCUCGAACAUUUUGGUUCAAGAAUCCUUCGAGGACGGAACUCCCUUCUCCUUGUCGAGCGGACCCUGGUGUAGCAGCCAAAAGUAUGGUAAAACUAGUGAAUUAGAGCGGGAAUUUGAGAAAGGGCUAUAAAGUUGAAAUGGUGAAGGACCUAACGCAGGAAAUAAGAACUCUAUAAAGGAGGAUAACUACUCAGAAUAGCGAAAUUCUCAAAAGAGGGAAGACAACUCUAUAUAUGGAGAAAGCAGUGACUAUAUGCCUGCCUCAAGGGCUAACUAAAAAUGCUGACUAAGAUGUUUUUUGCUUUGGGAAGAUGUACCUGCGGAGUUGCCUUGGUUGUUUCAUAACCAUGUCAUGUAAUUAACGGUGUCGUAUGAUGCUUUGGGGAUCAAAGACCCCCUCCCCAUCCCGCAUCAACAAGCCUAGAGAUGGUACCCGAUCUUGAGGACCUAUGUCAAGAAGAAGAUACGCUCCAAUGAGCCAUUAACACCAUUCCAAAACUCGAGAUGGUACCCAAUAUCGAGGACCUAUGUUGAGAAGAAGAUAGGCUCCAAUGAUCCACUGACAUCAUUACAAGCCUCGAGAUGGUACCCGAUCUCAAGGAUCUCUGUAAAGAAGAAGAUAGGCUCAAAUGAGCCAUUGACAUCAUUACAAGCCUCGAAAUGGUACUCGAUCUCGAGGACCUAUGCCAUGAAGAAGAUAGGCUCUAAGAAGCCAUUCACAUAAUUGCAAGCCUCGAGAUGGUAUCCAAUCUCGGGUACUUCUGUCAAAAAGAAGAUAAGCUCUAAAAAUCUACUCAUACAAGCCUAAUUUCAAGGUGGUACCCUACCUCGAGGAUUUUGCUAUUGUAAGUACGAGUCAUUUACUCGAUACCUGAGCCUGAGCCAAUUCUCACUCGAAAACUACUAAUAAACCACUAGGGUUAUUUCUCACCCUCGGGUCGAGUUAAAACCAUCCUCUUGGUUACUUUAACCCAGGGACCAUCUAAAUCCUGCUAAGCCCCUAUACGGGAUCUAUCUGCAAUGCCUUAAGGCUAUCUUCACUCUGAGUUCAAAACAAGUUUCCUGGUCGCCAGAACUUGAGCGAACUCUCACUCGUGGACCGCUUUCGAAAGCCUAAAGAUUAUCUUUAUUCUCAGACGUCCGAGCAAGUUCCCCCUCGAUGACUAUAACCAGGGCCUAAAAGGCUAAGUUUCGUUUUGAAAAUUUUGAAGCCCUAUUCUCACUCAACCUGAAAUCGAGGGCCCUGAUGGCCCUAGUUAUCAAUCCAAUUCGGGCUCAGUUCGAGGAAUGGAAAAGGGUUCUACAGGGUAUCGUGUUAAUCAAUCAAGAGCCAGAGAAGUACUUACACCCAAGCUCGGCAUUCGUACCCAUCGGUACAGUCAAGCAUUAAGAUUCUUCGUAAACGCAGAUAAAGGGAAAUAUAGCAUAAAUCAGAGACAAAUUGAAGAAACAUCUUUGUAUUCGUAAAUGAUGAUUACAAAAAGCCCAUUAAAGGACCUUAUACAUAAUUACAAAAGCCCACGAAGGGUCCUUACACAAAAAUAAAGAAGCAAAAGUUACAACUAAAAGUCUAAUCUACUCUCAGGGGUACAUCUACGAGAGCAAUGCCUUCAAGAAUAAUUUCUUUAUGGCCACAUCUCGGCCUUCUCAUCGGCAUCUUCAAGGACGAGGAAGAUGCAGCAAAACAAUACAGAAGAAGCAGAAAUGGUUGAAGAAAAAGCCGUAUCCUGCCAAAGAGCAAAAGCUUUUACGAGGCCUAGAAAGUUACAGCUCGAUAGAAGACUUGACGAGCGUAGGCCCAACCUGCACGACUACUUUGAGUACACUUCUUGUAACAUUGUGUCGUGCAAUUUAGUGGCCGGUAGUGCCACUUCACCCCACGGAAAGCAAAAAGGGAUGAAGUACCACACCAGGCCGGAGUAGAGAGGUGAGCAACGGUGUAAAUUCCGAACAUCCUCCUGAGCAGCAGUGUAGAGUCCGAAUAUCUUCCUGAGUAGGAUGAAAUCGGAGCCCCUAUCGCAUCGUCUUGAUCCAACGACGACAGUAGUAGCAACAAUAACAACAAGUUAGUGCAAUCCCGCUCAGAGAAAGACAACUCUGAGAAAGGGCCAUUGUGUAGCCGGUGAAAGCGUUGUCGCAUGACCUUACGGCCAUAGGCGUUAAACAAGAGAAAUAAAAUUGGACGGGGGCGAUGAGAAGAAAGGAGUUGGAAAAUGGUGAAGAAUGACUGAGCGAAGUUUUGAUUCAAGAAAGCUUCCAUUUAUAUAGAGAGGGUAGCGCAACCAACCGUCAUAAUCAAUACUCUUUGGAAAACGUAUCGACAGGUGCAAUCAAUAUUUUUGGGAGACAGAUCGGCGGCAGUGUUAUUACUUUGAAAAAAUAAACUGACAGUGUAAUAAGUGUUCCUAAAAAAAGACACACUAACAGGAUGCCUCGGUUAUCGUGGAGGCUUAUGUCAUGAGUAUUACAUCAUCACAGGAAGUUCAAGAAGAUGGAUAUCGAAGUCGUUUCUUAUCGAUACACUCUAAGAAAUGCAGGGACUAUCUGUAUACGGUAAAAUCGGGGGGUCCAAUUUUCGGUUAUUACGACGCUUCAUGAGCACGUUUUCAUAGGAUCGAGAUUAUGGUCGAGAUUAACACCCGAGGGAUUAUCGUCUUCCAGCUUGGGGGUAGUGUAGAUCGAUAGACAUUAUGAAAAAGUGGGAGGCUCCCAAGGCAUGUGACUAAAGCUGACCUAGUCUAUUUGGCUAGUUUAAGUCCGUACUGUGGCAUUAAAUGGAUGUACCAGCCCCAUCUCUUUGUAAUAAAUGUAUUUCUACUAUGUUGGGAUUCCCCCAAUAUAUAAAGGGGAUCCUUGUCAUUUCGUAAGACAUCUGAUACUUAAUAUUAAAAAUAUAAGAACAUUCUCUUUGCUCUCUAACAUAUUCUCUUGAUCUCAUUAGUUACAUUUAUUGAUUAUAUUCAUUGUCUAUUUAUUGCUCUUCAUUUAUUGCUCAUUAUUGAUCAUAAAAGGCUUUUAUCAAAGCUAUCAUAACUGUUAAUCCCCCUUUGAUUGCCCCUAUCCAACCAUCCGACUCGACCUCGAGGCCCCGAUUUCCAGCCAUUCGGUUUGCUCAUUAUACUAUCUACAAGCUCUUAUCUCAUUCUCAAAUCUCUUACUUAGAAUCUAUUGCUUAAACAUCUAGCAUAAAAAUAGAUCACGUAGUUUUCGAACCACAAAAUCAAAUCUAAUUGUUAUUACCAUUUUCAAGAUAAACAACUUCCGCUUAAUCACUAUCCUUAUGUUGCGUUGUCUCGUUACAUGUCACAGUCGUUGGUUCAUCAGGUUAAGUAAUAAUAAUGCUAUAGAGAAGAAAUGAAAAAUAUAAUAAAUACUAAAAUAACAAUGCAUUAAUUAAAUCUCGAAAACAUCAAAACAGGUACGGCUCGAUGACUCGAGCAAUUAUUUCAAACCAAAAUGCGUGUUAAAACAAAAUACUGGAAAUUACUUAAAUGUUUUAAUUUUUUUUUUAAAAACAAAUCAUGCUAAUUGCAAGGGUACCCAGGAACUCGACGGGCCAGGCAUGGUGUAGCAGUCCAAUUCUUGAGAACAACUCCUUUCUUCAUGGUUUAAAUGGUGAAGUCUUCUUCCUACUCCUCCUCAAUAAUUACAUUGCAGUCCAUGUAUUCAUCAUCCAAAAACAGAUCCCUUAGGCCAGCUAAAGCCUCAUCUUCUUCAGAUGCCCAUAUCAUGUCAGUCUAUUGAAAUGUUUGAUGCAGAUGUAGUAUUGGCUGUUCAAGAGGGUAAUAUGGGCCACGCCAUGACAGCGACCAAUCAUCGUACUCCUGCCAGGUGUAUUGAUACCCAAGUCCAAAGGUGUUACCAUGACGUUUUGGUUGUAUUGGCUUAGUGUAUUUCUCCAUUACAUUGACACGCUUGAUGCGAUGGUACGUUUCUCCACCCAACUUCCUUCUAUAAUCGACAACCAGAACAGUUCGAUUGGUGUAGAUGGGAUUACUUCCGUCUUCAUGAAUGAUCACCUCCUGAUGUUUCCAUUCGAACAUCAUGGUCUGGUGUAGCAUAGAAUCAACAGCUCCAGCAGCAUGUAUCCAAGGUCGUCCCAGCAACAAAUUGUAUGUAGCAGAUAUGUCCAAUACUUGAAACUCAACAUCAAACCAAGUCGGGCCCAUCUAUAAACAAAGGUUGAUAUCUCCAAUUGUGGCCCUUUGAGACCCAUCAAAUGCUUUCACAUUCAUACUCCCUGCUCAUAUCUCAUGGAAAUCCUUACCCAACAUUUUCAAAGUAGUCAACACACAAAUGUUGAGGCUUGAACCCCCAUCUAUUAGGACUCUGGCUAUGAAUUUGUCCUAAAACUGUAAUGUGAUGUGUAGUGCCCUGUUUUGACUCAGUCCUUCAGGUGGUAGUUUGUCUUCGUGAGAGGUAAUCUUGUGGAUCUCCAAUACUUGCCCUGUCAUAUUGGACAUCUCUCCACUAGUGAUGUUGUUGGGCACAUAAGCUUUAUUCAACACUUUGAUUAGAGCAUUCCUAUGCAUCUCAGAAUUUUGUAGCAGCGAUAUAAUGGAAAUUUGAGCAGGGGUUUUGUUCAAAUGAUCCACUACAAAGUACUCCCUUGCUUGAACCUUUCUCCAAAGAUCGUCUGGACCAAUUUCAAUGAUAGGUUGUUUGGGAGAGGCUUCUUCGCUUGUUCCUCCCAAAUACUCAAGUGUCUAAACCCUUCCGGUCCUGGUCAUGCCUUGUGCGACACAUAUUUCCUCCAUCUUCCCUUUUCCUUUUCUUCUCGCCUCUACAGUAUAGUCCCAUGGUAUAUUAUUGGAAUUAAAUGACGGUGUGGGGGAAACCAUCACAGUGAAGGGUGUGGUCACUUCCACCUCGAACGGAUCUAGUGUGGUUGAGGGCAUUGUUAUUUAACCUCAAACGAAUCUGGCGUGGCUAUUUCAACCUCAAUUGGUGACUGAAUUUGCACUAUAAUGGGUGUGAGAGUGACUGGAGGUAUUGUUGUUUCAUCCCCUUCAUGAAUGAGUCCAAUUGAUCCUUCUAGAUCCCAUUCUUUAUUAGUUUCUAUCAUAUUUACCACUCGCCCCUAUGAUUCGGGUGGAAAUUGUUGCGGAUAUUUGGUGCAGCCUCUUUUGCUUGUAUAAACUUGGUGUCAAUCAGAGUCGGGAUCUUAUCUUUCAAAGUGCGACAUACAUCAAUAGUGCGUCCCUUCAUGCUCAAGUGGUAGGAACAUGUCUGGUUUUGAUUGACCCACUCGGAAGAGUUUUCCAUAGCAACAAUAGGGAUGGGGGUGACAUAACUAGUAGCCGUCAGUCUUUCAUAGAGCUGAUCAAUGCAUUCAGCAGUAGGAGUGUAUUUUCUGGGUGAUCUGCAGGAAAAAUUUGCUCUGGGUUUCUGGUAGUUUUGGCGGGCUCGUGGUGGUGAGUGGUAAUAUGCAGGCUGCGUGUUAUAAAUAUGGUAAGUGGUGGCAUGUUGUUGCUAUCUGGGAGGUGAAGGCUGAUAUGCGAGUGGUGGGGUUUGGUAUGUGAGAAGGAUUGGGCCUUGGGCUACCAUCACGGCGCCUACUUCUUUCUUUUUGGAUAUACCCCCUAACUGCAAAGCUUUAUUCAUAGCGUGUAAUGCCUCAAAAUUAAUUACCAUUCCUCUUUUGAUUCCUUUUUCAAUUCUUUCCCCCAAUUUAAUGAAGUCAGAGAACUUGUGAUUCUCAAUAACCAUUAACCUCACAUAGUAUUGUAGAUCCUAAACCAAACAAAGAAUUUGUUCAUUUGCUCUUCUUCCAAUACCGGUCUUACUUUUGCAGCUUUCGAUCUCCACCGAGUAGCAUACUCAUAGAAGGUCUCAUUUGGCUUCUUCUUGUGAUUUUGGAUAUACAAGACAUCUGGUGCAUUCUCUAAAUUAAAACUGAACCGAUCCAUGAAAUCUGAUGCCAUGCUUACUGAGCUAACCCAUUUAUUUGGAUUUUGACUAUUGUACCAAGAUAGGGUGUCACCAGUGAAGCUCCUCAUGAACAAUUUCAUGCAAAUCCUUUCAUCCUUUUCAACUCCUAUGAGUUUGUCACAGUAUGUCCUUAGAUGCACCUUUGGGUCACCUGUUCCAUCAAACAUCUCGAAUUUAGGAGGUUUGUAACCCUCUGGCAGUUCCACGUCCAGCUGAAUGCACAGGUCCUCGUAGUUCAAUCUCUCAAUGCUUUUACACCCUUUGACACCUUGGACUCGACUUGUAAGAUUUUUAAGUUCUUAUAUCAUAUUCUAGAUGAGUAGGUCCUUCUCAGUAGAUUUAGAUAUGUAUAGGGUUUUGUUGAGUAGUGUGGGGUAAGGUUUCCACAUAUAUGGGGUUGCUUUGAUGUACUAUGGGGAUUUGGGUAUAGUGGUGAUCAUUGGUUGAGUUUUGAGGAUUGGGAAUAAGUUGUGGUGCGUUCUGAGGAGUGUGAUAGGUAGUGGUUUGUGGAAACUCGGUUGGUUGAUGAUGAUGUUGUGGAGGAGUUGAUACCGGUGGAGGAUUGGGGUUUUUAGGCGGUGCGAAAUAUUGGUGAGGUGCGGGAGAAUUUUAUGGAUGCUGGUUGGAUGUAUUUUGGGGAAGUGCUGGGUUUUGGUGUCCUGUUGGUUGAUGUCAGGGACGUUCAGGGUAAGGGAGUGAUUUCCCAAGUUCCGAACCUGCUCAAGAUCCCCUUGUAACUCCAAUAUCUUUUGUUCCAGUCGCAAAACCAAGUCAUUUGGUGCUGGAGUGCUUCGACCAUCUGAAGUUUCAGCAUUGUCCUCAUGUGUGGUGUUAUCUUUCCUGAUGUUGCCAUUAUCAUCCAUUCUGGACUUUCCCUUGCUUUUAGGAUUGUUUUGAGGAGGAGGAGGUGGAGGUCCUCUUGGUCUUGUAUGAUAUGUUGAUGAUGCCAGUAUGCACAAACGAACCUUCGGGGAUGGGAAUAAACAAAUCAAGAAAAGAAGAAAACAAAAAAGUAAACAAGUCAGUGAGAAGUAUAAAGAGGUUGCUUGUAGUAUUUAAACACAUAUUGCGGAAUAAAUUCGCAUCUUAACUUGGGGACCUUAUUGUGCCUGGGGUAGGCCUAAGCAACAUAUAGAUUUGGAGAAAAACGGAUGCCAAUAACUCUGUCAUGUUAAUGUUAAAAUAAAUCGAAUCUCUAAUAAUACGAUAAUGAUAAUAAAAAGUCACUAAUUUCAUGUGACUUAUUACAACCAAAGCCUAAAACAAAUCUAUAAAAACAAGUAAAACAUAAUUUUUUAAUCUAUCUAGUACCAGAAGAACCUUCUUCAUGCUUGGCCUUCUUUGCUCCAUUGAUCAAGCUCCCUAGGUCGCGUGUGUCCCGCAGUAGAAACGCCCUUGCUAGGAGACCUCAUUCUCUUCCUUCCAUGUUUUGACAGCCUAUAACCCUGUUCCUCAUCUUCCCUUACAGCUCUAUCAAUCCCUGCUCUAAAUACUCCAACCUGUCUAUUGAUUUGGUGGCGAUUUAUCUCCAUUCAUUGAUUGCUUCCAUGUACGCUUUGUACUAUUCCAAAUGUCUGGCCUCAAAUUCAAAAAUCCUUUUUGUAACCUCAUAUAUUUGACUUGGGCCUCGGCAGCAUCAUCUAUGACCCUAUUGCCCAAAUCAAUCCCUGGCUUGACUUCUCACGCUAUGUCAUCGACCAACCUUGAUGGAUAAAAAUGCACAUGGCCAGCAUGGUAUCUAUCUGGCCCGAUGGUAUACUUCUCUGCCAUGUCCUAUAAAUUCCACAUGUGUUGUGCCUCGUACUUGAAUGGAAUAACAUCACCUUGGAAAUCUGCUUUGUAGUAAACAAUCUUGGAGACUCGGGGUAUGACUUGUUUCCUCUCAGCCUCUCAUGGCCCUAAUAAGAGCAUAGGGAUAGAUAUCCCUCAACCCAAUCAGCACUAAAUUAGGAACAUCUCUUGACCUAAUGAUAAACUCGCUGGUAGGGAACCACUCGAACAUCCAAUGGACUUUGUCAUCCGUCAAAUUGCUAAAGAACUGCACCUAAUCCACAAUAUUUUCCGAUUGUGCAAACCUAUCUAGGAUGAAAAUCAUUAUUUUUGGAUGGUGAAAAGCUAUGUGGUCAUUCCAUGGUCGCCGCGGAUAUUCCUAACUGUACUGUCCUCUUUGAAGAUGCUCCAACAACCAUAUUUGUAGUAACAAGUUGCGGCCCUCGAAAUGUCUGAAUCCCUUCUUGCAGUAGUCUAAAGCUCUGUAUAUUUCUUCCGCGAUCAUUGGUGUGAAUCCUUUCUCCUUACCCUAGGAAUACUAGCAUCCCUAGAAAAUAGACGAUGAACAUGAAAACCUGACGGUGGGUCAAACCCAACGAAGUAAUAGCAAACUUAUCAUGGUAAAGGCGGUAGGAUUUGCUAUGUCCAUAACGUGCGUAGGGUAAGUGGAAUGGUAUGUAAGACUUCUUUAAGUAGACUAACUCAUCAUUCUUUCUAAAACCCAUCAUUUUCAGAAACCCUCGAUAGGUGUGAUUCUCAGGUACUAAUAGACCAGGGAUAUCCCAAGGAAUUCCAGCAAAGCCCCCUGUUUUCUCUAGGAAGGGAGUCAUCUCUAUAUCCUCGAAAUGGAAAACAUCCCUCUUUUCAUCCCGAAACAUAGUAGUAGCCUCGAUCAGUAUAUUGUUUGGUUGGAUGUGUAGCAGAGAAGGUAGAUUCCCAAGAACUCUUUUUACAUGGUUUUUGUCACUUGGUGAAAGAUUUCCCCACCAAUCCAGUAACAAAGGUGGGAUAUUCUGAACCUUACCGAACCUGGGGACCUCGUGCCUUAUUUCUGCAAAACAGGUAAAGUAAGCCCUUGCCCCCUCAAGAUUUAGCUAAUUAGACACUAAUGAUCAACAUAUUGGCAUGUUUUUCUCCAAAUGAUGCAUAAAUCGUGAUUACCUCCAUUCAGAUUAUGGAAAUCCCGGCGGACUUUGGACAAUGUUUGUCCUAGUGAGUUAUUACGUGGACAUAAUGAAGGAAGUGUAAUAAAGCAAAUUAAAAGGUAAGGGUUGGGGAGAGAUAUGAUAUAGCAAAAAGUGUGGAGCUGGUGAACAUGAUUAAGGAAUAAGGGGAAACACAUCUUGUAAUCAAAUUAAACAAAGAAUCGCAUAUGAGUUCAUAUAGAAGGGAAAUGGCAAAAAGGAUGUGCAUGUAGCAAUAAAAGGGAAAAAUAGGAGUGGGAGACUCAGGUAAUAGCAAAAUAACAAAGGCACGCUUAUUAGAGAAGGCUAAUUCACAAAGAUCAAAUUCAUUUAUGGUAAGAGUCUAAAACAAAAUAUCCCCAGCAGAGUCGCAUGUUGUCGCGCCCCUUUUUCUCGCGAAAUCAGGUUUCAACAUUGACAACUCUUUUAAGGAAGGGUUUUAAAAGAGAGAGUCACCACCUAAUGGAUUAAGGUGCGUUGGCGUACCUAUUUGCAGAUAACUUUGUUUAACCAGUUUGCGCCACCAGAGAUCGGGUAAGAGCUCGAAAUUACCUCGAAGAGAAGGUGUAAGGGUAAGGGCUCGAAAUUACCUCGAAGAGAAGGUGUAAGGCACUCUUCGAGGUCCACAAUUGUGGGUCUCGACCGAACUCAAUUAAGUGAAUUAGUCUGAAGAAGAGGCGAGGAAAUUAUUUAAUAGGUAUCGAGGGUCCUAAGUAUUUUAGCCUAAAGGAUCACCCCGUGCAACAUAAAUAAUACUUUGUAACUCCUACAAGACAGGGAUGUUACUCAUUUUAUUCAGCGGGCACAGACUAUCAUCUCCUGCUACCCGUUUACUAUCUUUUAGUUAUUUACCUUAAGCGCUCUAAUCAAUUCUAACUCGUAUCCUAUGCGUGCACUACCCGUCCCUUAUCUAUGGUCUUGGAGGCACUGGGACCUCUAUUUUUGAUGGUUGUAGACUCCACUUAGGUUUCUCAAAAUUGUAAAACUAGGCGACAUACAAAACAAGUUGAACUUUUCAAGCAAGAACAGAUAAAGGCUCAAUUUAUCCUCCACACAUUAAGCAACAAAUGCAAGCAAAAAGAUUGGCAUGUCGAAAAUUUUAAUAGUUAAGGUUGUUAGGUCCUAUAGACAUGAUUUCUAAGUACUUCUAGAUUUUAAUCGCACUGCAGUUUAUGAGAAACAAUUUAUAGGGGGCUAUGUAAUUGUCACGACUCAAACUGAUGGGCCGCAACGGGUUCCUAAGUCUUACCUGUCAAAUACCGCUAAGCAUGCGUCCAAGAUAUGAACUUGAAUAACAUUUGCUCAAUUACAAAAAUAACAUAUAUGAAGGAGACCUGCCAACAAGGCAUAUGUACGUAUACGUGCAGAAUAUAGUGGGCGAGCCGGCAAGGCUGCUAUAGACAACUAUACAUCCAAAAUUGAAAGCCGAGAAGGCCACAUACAACCCAACUAGACAUACUAUCUACAAAUCUCUAAUGGAAAUAUAACUGUACAAAGACGGGACUGAGCCACAUCAUACCCAUAUAUAUAUACAUAUCAUACCAAAAUCAAAAGCAGCUCUGGAUCAAGUUGAGCACGCCAACUCUCACUGAUCAGGGAUCCUAAGAAGGGGGACCAUCAACUUGCCUACCUGUACCUGCGAGCUUGAAACGCAGGCCCCGUGAAAUAUGGCGUUAGUACGAAAAAUGUACUAAGUAUGUAAGGCAUGAAAAUUUGUACGUAAAAGACAUAAAUGAAACAUGAAAUAUAGAAACACGUCUUUAAAUUUGAAUAAUCUUGUAAAUUCUAAAACAUUUAUAAUGUCAUGCACGUUCGUAUAAAUGUCAUGCCAUGCAUAGGUAUUGGUGUACAUUAUAUCAUCAAGCCACUGAGGGCAUGCCAUCAUAUCGUCUCGGCAACUAUGGGCAACAUUAUCAACAUAUACCAGCUGAUCAGGUGAUGGUGCAUAUAUAACGCCGUAACCCUUUCCCAUAUCUCAUAUACAUAGAUUUACAUAUAUACGCGUAUAUAACGCCAUCUGGUCACGGGUCAAUGCACAUGCAUAAAUGGGUGAAAUGUAUAAAAAUAUGUAAAAAUCUCAAUAUUCCUUUCGGAUAAACUUUUUUCAACUACGUAUUAUUCUGAGACCCAUGAACAGAAGAUAAUAAUAAUUCACAUGGGAAAAUCACGAAUAUGGCCACCCUUAGUAUUUCUAUGAAUAGAGUAAUUUAUGAAAACUGUACGUUUACUCGUUUCUUCAGUAUAAUUUGGAUCAUGCCAAAAGAAAGAAUGGAUGGCCUUAACAUACCUAGAAUAUUUUUAAUGAAAUAAGCUUCUGCUUCCUUGAAUUUUACUUGAUCGUAAUGAGCUUCUCCUCCCCGAAUAGUUUUGAACGAAUUUUUGACUUCUCUACCUUGAAUUAUUUGAACUAAUUUGGACUUCUCUUCCUUGAAUUGUCUUGAACUAGGUUUUAAUGAAAUGAAUUAUUUGUAUACUUGCUCCCAAGGAAGCUUCUGCAAGCUUGGUGUGUGCUUUUGAUUUAUGAGCUGCUCACCAGGAAUUUAGUGCCUUUUAUCUUCUUGGUUACUGUAAUCUUAUGCUAGUACUUCUUACAUUUGAGUGUUAUUUCCUCUUAUUAGAAUACUAGAGAUUGAAGCUGGAAAACGUUUCUUACUUUUUUUAAUUAAGAACAUCUUUUGUUCUUUGUCAAAAAGGAAGUAGUAAGCUACUUAUUAAAUGUCAAUUAACUCUUAGGUAGCCACCUACUCCAAACGUGACCAUGAGUCAUUGUUUGGAAAGUGGUUUGAUGCCAUAUUUCUUUUGGGGUGUAAUUUUGUUAAUUUUUAUCCACUUAUUAGUUAACUGGGUAAUGAUUCGUUACCCAUUAAUUAACCAAUUACUCGCAUAAUUUAAAAAUUGUCACAAAUUACUUAAAAUUUUACUUAUUUUUAAUAUACUUCAUAUAUUCUUUAUACAUUAUACUAUCGUGAUCAUAUGGUACCUUGCAUGGUACUACUCAAUAAUUAUCUGGUAUUUUUGCUUGACCCGUAUUUUAUCCCAAAUUGGCCACUUUCAACGAAACUCAUUUUCUUUAAUUCUUGUACCCUUUAUCCUUCAUGACACUUCUUUAUCGCUUGUUAUAAAUAGCAUAACUACACUAACCUCAAGAUAAUCUCAUCCCUAAGACUACGUCGAUUAACUGAAGACGAAACUUUUAACGUACAAAAAUGCGAGAUGUAGCAUCCUUCACCCUUUAGAAACAUUCAUCCUCGAAUGUUCAAUUCCCCAUGAACUAUAUAGCUUUGGCAGGGUCACCUUUGUAACAACACUACUACCCAUUCUACCCGUAGAAGCUUAAUAACCAAUGCCACACAAGGCCACAAUUAUGAAUAACGAUAAUGACCUCACAUGACCAACGACAAUAACCAACACAAGAAUUUAUACACGUACCUUAUGGUUAUGACAUCUCGGUCGGACCCUUAUUUGGAAGAGGAAAUAAGUAGGAGUUUCUAGACUUCAUGUCUUCCUCGGCCUCCCAAGUCAUUUCUUCCACAUUGUUGUUCCUCCAAAGUACUUUCACGGAGGCUACCUCCUUAUUCUAGCUUGUGGAUUUGAUGGUCUAGGAUGGCAACUAGAAUUUCCUUGUAUGAAAAGUCUUCUGUAAUCUGCACAUCAUUCAUGGGCAUCACUCGAGUAGGAUCGCCAAUGCACUUUCGUAACAUAGAUACAUGAAAAACCAGAUGGACAGACUCCAACUCCGAGAGCAAUUAUAACUCAUAAGCUACUUGGCCCAUUCUCCGAAUGAUCUUAUAAGGCCCAAUAUACCGUGGGCUAAGUUUGCAUUUCCUGCAAAAUCUUAUCACACCAUUCAUAGGUGACACCUUUAAGAAUACCCAGUCAUUAACCCCGAACUCUAAAUCUCGACGCCGCACGUUAGAAUAUGAAUUCUGAUGACUCUGAGCUAUCAAUAGUCGAUCUCGGAUAAGCUUUACAUUUUUUAUGGCUUGCUGAACCAGGUCUGGCCCAUGUAAUACAGAUUCUCCAACAUCGAACCACCCUAUAGGUAACCUACACUUCCGUCCGUACAGAGCUUCGUAUAUAGCCAUCUGAAUACUGGAAUGGUAGCUAUUAUUAUAUGCAAACUCAAUAAGCGGCAAAUGAUCAUCCCAGCUACCUUUGAAGUCCAUUACACAAGCUCGUAACAUAUCCUCCAGUGUCUGAGUAGAACACUCAGCCUGUUCGUCUGUCUGGGGAUGAAAUAUGGUACUAUGACUUACUUGAGUCCCCAAUCCUUUUUGGAAGGACCUCUAGAAGUUAUCUGUAUAUUGAGCUCCUUUAUUCGAGAUAAUAGAUAUGGGGACACCAAGUAGUCAUACAAUCUCCUUAAUAUGAAUCCUUCCAUAAUCCUUUAAUCAAUAUGUAGUUCUAAUGAGUAGAAAAUGGGAUGAUUUUGUAAGCCUAUCAACCAUCACCCAUAUCGAAUCGAACUAAUGCUGGGUACGAGGUAAGCCUACGAUGAAAUCCAUAUUGAUUAUUUCCUAUUUCCAAGUCAGAAUCUCCAUAGCAUGCAAUAAUCCACCGAGUUUUUGAUGUUCAAUCUUAACUUGCUGAUAGUUAGGGCACUGAGCAACAAAUACUGCUAUAUACAUUUUUCAAUCCGUUCCACCAAUAUACUUCCCUGAUAUCAUGAUACAUCUUUGUCAAUCCUGAUUGGAUAGAAUAACGAGAAUAGUGAGUUUCUCCCAUAACCUGUCAACGCAGCCCUGCAACAUUAGAUAUACAUAAUUGCCGUUGAUAUCUGAGGAACCCAUCUUCUGUAAUUUCAAAUGGUGUCUUCUCCUUCUGAAGGGUGGUAUCCCUGUAACGAACUAACACAGGAUCCUCAUACUGGCGUUCCUUUACUUCUAUUACUAAAGAGGAUAUUGCCAUAUCCUGAACAGUAAUUCCAAUAUUACCCGAGUUCAGUAACCGAGCUCCAAGACUAGCUAGCUGAUGAACCUCAUGGGCUAUUCCCCUCUUUUCUGGCUAUAAAUACGACAGGCUACCCAUAGACCUACGGCUGAGGGCGUCGGCUACUAUGUUUGCCUUCCUCGAAUGUAUAAAAUAUCAACGUCAUAGUCUUUAAGUAGCUCCAACCAUCUCUUUUGAUGUACAUUCAGUUCCUUUUGCUUGAAAAUGUACUAGAGGCUUUUAUGAUCCAUAUAGAUGUCAACAUGAAUGCCAUACAAGUAGUGCCUCCACAUAUUUAGUGCAUUAAUCACCGCGGCUAACUCUAAUAUGGGUCGGGUAGUUCUUCUCGUAAUUUCUUAGUUGUCUGGAAGCAUAAGCCACAACCUUACCAUGCUGCAUCAGCACACAACCCAACCUAACGUCAGAAGCAUCACAAUAGAUAACGUAACCAUCGGUCCCUUCCGGGAGCAUUAGAAUUGGUACUGAAGUUAAUCUAUCCUUUAAUGCCUGGAUACUCCGUUCGUAAGCAUCAGUCCAUUGAAACUUUUCUCUCUUCUGAGUCAACUUCAUCAAAGUUGCUGAUAGGGAAGAAAAUCCCUCCACAAAUCUCUUGUAAUAACCUGCCAAACCGACAAAGCUACGAACCUCCGCCGGUGUUGUGGGUCUAGGCCAAGUUUUUACUGCCUCAAUCUUUUGUGUAUCCACCGGAUGCCUUCACCCGAAAUGAUAUUCCCAAGGAAAGCUAUAGAGUUUAAGAACAAUUCACACUUAGAGAAUUUUGCAUACAACUUCCCUUUUUGUAGAACUCUGAGCAUAGUACACAGAUAAUCAGCAUGCUCAGCCCCUGAAAGAGAAUAUACCAAUAUAUCAUCGAUAAAUACAAUUACAAACAGAUCUAAAAAGGGACUGAAUACAUGAUUCAUCAAAUCCAUGAACACUACUGGGCAUUGGUCAGACCGAAAGACAUAACAUGAAACUCAAAGUGCUCGUAUCUGGUCCUGAAUGCUGUCUUUGAAAUAUCUUCAUCCUUAACCCUUACCUGAUGGUACCCGGGCCUCAAGCCUAUCUUUCAAAAACACUUGGCACAUUGCAGCUGAUCAAAUAAAUUGUCAAUCCUCGGGACCGGGUACUUAAUCUUGAUUGUCACCUUAUUCAACUGUCUAUAAUCAAUACACGUUCGUUAGGAAUUUCUUCCUCACAAAUAACAAAGGUGCUCCAUACAGGGAUGUACUAGGUCUGAUAAAGACAUUUUCAAGCAAGUCCCUUAGUUGUUCCUUUAACUUUUCAGCUCCGUGGGGGCCAUCCUAUAGAGAGGAAUAGAUAUUGGGUGAGUAUCUCGUAGUAGGUCAAUGGCAAACUUAAUUUCUUGUUCUGGCGGAAGACCCGGAAGUUCAUUGGGAAAAACAUCGAGAAACUCAUAACCAGUGGGAUGGACUGAAUGGAUGGUGACUCUACUUCCACAUCCUGAACCCGAACUAAGUGAUAAAUAUAGCCCUUUUUGAUCAUCUUCCUUGCCUUGAGAUAGGAAAUAAAUUUUCCUCUCAGCGAUGCCAUAUUACCUUUCCACUCCAAAACAGGCUCCCCUGGAAAUUGAAAUCGGACUAUCUUUGCUCUACAAUAAAGGUUGGCAUGACAAGAAGCCAACCAAUCCAUACCUAUUAUAACAUCAAAUUCUACCACAUCUAACUCGAUUAGAUCUGCUACGGUAGAUCGACCAUGAACUACUAUUAUACAACCCCUAUAGACUUGCUUAGAUAUUUCUGAGUCCCCAACAGGUGUAGAUACCUCAAAAGGUUUAACCAAUUCAUGUAUUAUUUCAACCUUACUAGAAACCAAUGGGGUAACGUAUGAUAAGGUGGAACCUGUAUCAAUCAGUACAAAUACAUCAUAUAAGGAGACUUAUAAUAUACAUGUAACAACAUCAAGCGAUGAAUCUUGGUCAUGUCGUGCUGCCAAUGCAUAAAUGCGGUUCUGAGGGAUACUCGAUCUAGAUGCUCCGCCUCUACCUCUACCAUGACUUAUUGGUGCUCGGGGACCUUGCCAAGGGGGUCGUACUGAUGAUGACAAACCAGCUAUAGAUCCCGACGGCUGAGCUAUACUUGCAUCACCUCUCAUCCGACAAUCCCUCAUAACGUGGCCCAAAUAACCACAAGUAUAACAAAUACCUAACCCCAUAUGGCACUGCCUGGUAUGCUACUUACCACAUUGAGCACAUCGUGGCAAGGGCAGCCUCAUCUGAUUUGACUAGCCCCUAUACUGAGAGCCUGAGGUCCUGAAAUUCUGACCAGACCCUGAAUAUGAAGAACGAUCAAAUCUCUAAUGCCAAACUAAGGGGAUGUACUAGCCGAUGGCUGGGAUGGAUACCUCAGGUACUGCUGCCUCUGACCACCUCAAAACUCACAAGAAGGACCAAAAGACCUUGCUCUCUUAUUCUGGGUCCUAUCAUGCUCAUGAUCGGCCCUCUAAUUCUGUUUACCCUCCUCUACACCCUGAGCAUAUGCCUAAAUACGAGAAAUAUCCAUGUCUGGCGGAAGUGAGACCGACAUACAAUUGUUAAGCAAGUGAUGCUCUAAUUCCAUAAUGAACCAUUAAACUCGAUCCUCUAUCUUAGAUACAAUAGUGGGAGCAUACCUAGUCAACGAAUCAAACUAAAGACUGUACUCCUAAACACUCAUGUUACCUUGUCACAGGGUCAAGAACCUAUCAACUCUAGCUCGCCUAAGCUCUGGUGGCAGAUAAUGAUGAAGAAAAGCUUCUGUAAACUCCUGCCAUACUGCUGGAGGGGCAUCCUCACCUCUGGACAAUUCCCAAGACUUGUACCAAUUAACUGCAAUAUCUCAGAGUCUAUAGGAAGCUAGCUCAACUGACUCAAUCACAGUGGCCUUCAUUACCCUUAACGUCCUCUGCAUUCUAUAAAUAAAUACUUGAGGGUCCUUAUUCGGAUCUACCCGGUGAAUAGUAGAGGGUCUAAAUUAAUGAAGUCACGAACCCUCGCACUGACUGACUUAUCUGCAUGGCCAAUACCUAUUUCCUGACAUCGAGCCUGCGCGGCUACUAAUCGGGUUAAUAGCUGAAUAGCAUCUCUUAUCUCCUAACCCGGUGCAUCCGACUGAGGUGCUAAAUGUACAGGGGGCGCUGGACCUGGUGCCCCUCGGAGCUCUUCUAGAAAGGGCGGGGUAUGUGAAGUCUAAGAUAGAAUCUAACCAUGAGACUCUCCCUGAGCCUUGGUAACUCGUGGCACUCGUCUAGUAGUCUCACCAGCCACAGACUUUCCCUUAUAGGCAGCCGUACUCUUUGGAAGCAUCGCCGAAAAUAUAACAUAUCAUUAGGAACAUGAAUUACUGUAUUGCACAAUCUGAGAUAAAAAGAGAGGAUAACAUCCUAUAUGUCCUGUAGCCUCCUAUUUAUAAGUGUGGUUCACAACAAACCCAUAAAUUAGGCUCUACUAGACACGGUCUAUAGACAACCCUAGGAUAGAACUGCUCUGAUACCACUUUUGUCACGACCCAAACCGAUGGGUCGUGACGGGUGCCUGAGUCCUCUCUGUCAAACCCCCCUAAGCAUGUAUCUAAGAUAUGAACCUGAAUAACAUUUGCUGAAUUACAAAAAUAACAUACAUCAAGAAGACCUGCCAACAAGGCAUAUGUAUGUAUACAUGCAGCAUAUAGUGGGCGAGUUGGCAAGGCGGCUAUAGACAACUAUACAUCCAAAACUGAAAGCCGACAAGGCCAUAUACAACCCAACUAGACAUACUUUCUACAGACCUCUAAUGGAAACAUAACUGUACAAAUACGGGACUGAGCCACGUCAUACCUAUAUAUAUACAUAUCGUACCAAAAUCAAAAGCAGCUCUGGAUCAAGUGGAGCACGCCAACUCUCGCUGAUCAGGGAUCCUAAGAAGGGGGACCGUUAGCUUGCCUACUUGCACCUACGGGCAUGAAACACAUGCCCCGUAAAAUAGGGCGUCAGUACGAAAAAUGUACUGAGUAUGUAAGACAUGAAUUUUUCUACAUAAAAGACAUAUAUGAAACAUGAAAUAUAGAAACACGUCUUUAAAUUUGAAUGACCUUGUAAAUUCUAAAACAUUUAUAAUGUCAUGCACGUGCAUAUAAAUGUCAUGUCAUGGAUAGGUAUGAGUGUACAUUAUAUCAUCAAGUCACUGAGGGAAUCCCAUCAUAUCGUCUCGGCCACUGUGGGCAACACCAUCAACAUAUACCAGUUGAUCAUGUGGUGGUGCGUAUAUAACGCUGUAACCUUUUUCCAUAUCCCUUUUUUUGGUUUUGAAGAUUACUUUAUAUUAACUAAUUCAUAAAAAACGUUACAGGGAGCUGCUGCCCUUAGGCAUCGAAAUAAGAAUCUUAUGAGUUCUAGUACUGGCAGUGCUAUGUCGUUGUACAUUACAAGGGGAAAUAGAACUAUUACUACUCCUUUGGUUAUCUUUGUGCAUGACAACUGCUCUAUUAGGAUUUUAGCUUGUUGAAAGUGCUGCGUUUUGGGUGCCAGAGGAGGGUAAUGAGUCCAUACAAAAAGUUUUGCUUCUUGGUAUCCAUCUAGUCGUGCCAACACCAUACUUGUCAUUCAAAAGAUAUUUCCAUAUGAAGUGAGGAGGAUCUGCAAAAAAGGUGAUAGGAGUGCCUUCCAGUUCCAUACCAAAAUGUGCAAGUUUAUCUGCUAUUAUAUUUUGGUCCCUGUAAGUGUGGCUAAGUGGUGGAUUAUUCAGCUGGUGGAUAUGGAACCUGCAGUCAAAUGCAAUAGCUGAUUUUAGCGAGUAGUUGGUAUUGAUCAAAUUAAUUACCUCCUUUGCAUCCAUGUGGAUUUGAAGUGGUGUUAAGUUGUGCGUAAAAGCCAUUUUCAAACCACGUAAUAAUGCCAUGAGUUCAAUAUUAUUAACACUGGUAGAUGCUGAGUGACCCGCAUAUCCCAUAACCCAAUUGCCGUUAUAAUCCCUGAAAACCUCGCCAAAGCCUGCACGUGAUUUGUCUUGUGUGAAAGCUCCAUCCGUAUUGAGAAAAAAUAUUGUGGGUGGGGGUGGGUUCUAUUUGACAUACAUAGGAAUUUGGUUGUAGGGUUUGGAUGGUUGAUUAACAAAGUAUUGAUAUUCCUGGGCAAGUUGGAGGAUUGUAUUAAUGGAGGGUGAGUGGUUUGGAUUCUCAAAGCAGAAUUUAUUUCUAAUGAUCCAAAUGUGCCACAAGGUGAAUGGAACGAGUAACUGUACUGCUAUGUGAGGAUUAGCUAACGUACCUUUUUGGAGGGCAAGGGGUUUUAGCCAACAAGUGUUAUUGUUUGGGAAAGUAGUUAAGGAAUUUAUGAGGGGUCCUAGAUGUAGCCCUUCCCAGCAUUGUUUGGCUCUAGGAUAGUGAAGUAAUAUAUGGCUUAUUGUUUCUUCCUCAAUUAGGCAGAUGUUGCACUUAUUAGACGAGGUUAUCCCUAGCCUAUGUAGAUACCUAUUGGUAGGUAACCUAUUAUGGCUAAUGAGCCAUAGGAAAUUUUUUAUUUUGGGUAGCAUAUAUAGCUUCCAAAUCCACCCAUGAUUGUUUUCCUUAUCAGUAGGUGGUUGGAGAAAUUUAUAGUAAGAAUUAGCAGUGAAACAACCAUUAAAGGUGGCUCCCCAAGUGAUUCUAUCAGGCCUAUGGUCAUAAGGAGAUAUGUAGGUGGAAUUAAUUAGGUGGGUUAUAUUACUAGGUAGUUCAAAGGAGAAGGGGCAGUCCAGUGUUCUAGUAAUAGAUAAUGCUUGGGCAACCGUUACAGUUACUUCACGGUUUGUUAGGGGGCCUUGUAUAAAGCUUUGAAUAGUAGUGUGUGGGGCAAUCCAGGUAUCAUUCCAAAAUAGUACACUAGUACCUUGAUUAACUUGCCAUUGAAUGCAUAGUUGGCAUGUUUGCCAGCCUUUCAUAAUGUGUGCCACAGUAGGGAGAGUUUCUUUGAAUGGUGAGGUGUGUGAGUUGUGUAUGUGAAUGAGGAAUGAUGCCCAAAGGCUUUCAGGAUUAUGGAAGAUUCUCCAAUCAGUAGCAACUAGUAAGGCUUGAUUUUUGUGAAGGAGUCGUUGGAUGCCUAAGCCUCCAUGAUUCUUUGGAAAAGUGAUUGUAUUCCAAUUGAGCAGAUGUAACCAUUUUUUCUGAGGGGUGGACCCCAUAAAAUUUUUUUUUGAUAGGAUUCUAGUUGAUUGAUCACAUAUGAGGGAAUUUGGAUAAUUUACAUAAUGUGGCUGGGAAUGGUAUUGAGAGUAGCUUUGAUUAAGGUUGUGCAACCUGCUAUAUUAUGGUGAUUUAUUUUCCUACCCGUUAAUCUAUUCUUAAAGUUGUUAGGGAUAUGAAUGUAUUCGGUGAGCCAUGGGAUUGAGGAUUGGGACUCCAGGUAGAAUGGCAUUUUCACAAGAGAGGGAAGCUCUAAGUGGGAUUGGGGGUAGUGGUUCCACCAUAGCGAGUUGUUGUUCAUUUGUGGGGUUGCCCAGUGGAAUAGAGUGUAAUAAGUCAUGGCUACAUGCAUCCCCUCCGUGAUGAUCUGGGCUAGGUCUUGUGGAUUUUAUAGUCGGAUUAGUACCUCCUAGUUGUUCACGAUCAUUAAGAAGGUGAGGGCAUGAUUCUGUAACCCCAUCUCCAACCAGGAUUGUGGUGGUUGGUAUGGGUUUGGUGCUUGGGAGGUGUAAAUGACUGGAUAAGUCAUGGGAGGACGAGGAGGGUUCCUUUGCAUGUUGCCAGGUUAGAGAAGGUUAAUGUUUAAUGGCCUCUAUAGAAGUAGGGUUGGUUGUUGAUGUUGUGUGCGUAAGGGGUAAUGUUGUGCAUGGUACCUCGGCAUGGUUUAUGAUAGUGGUGUAAGGAAGAGUGAGUGAUUGCAUGUGGGUUAGGUCAUUUAAUGAUGAAUUGGUAGUAUUUGUAGAAGCAUGAAUAGGCAGUUGAGGCGGUAGCUUAGAGGGGAGUUGAUGGUUAUCGUAUAUGAUGUGCACCUCAGUUGGGUUAAGGAGAGAAUGGUGAGAUUUUAUUGGUUGCAAGGAAGUGGGGAAGGCUGAGUGAAGUGUUGGAGUGGGCUUAAGAUGUGAUAUUGGGGGAUCAUGAUUACCUAGGGGAGGGAGAAGUGUGUUUGUAGUAGUAUUAACAGGUGUCAAUACAUUAGGAGUGGUAUUGGAGAUGGAAGGCAGUGGAGCUGACGUGGACAUAGUAGAGGCAUGGUUAGUGUAACAGGUGGGACUAUUCAUUGUGGGGUGGUAUGAGAAAUCUGAGUUAGUAGUUGAUACGUGGGCUGCUAAAGAGGGGUUGGGCUUGGUCUCUGUCAUGCCAAUAGGUAUAGUGUGGGCUGAAUUGGUUAUUGGUGGGCUUAGGGGGGUCUCCUUUUAAUUAGUAGCUGAUUGUAAUAAAUCAAAACUAUUUUUUGUAGCAAAUAACGUAUUAGCAGAUAAUGUAGUAGUUAAAGAGUUGAUUAAUGGAGUGCUGGUUUUAUGGAUAGUGAACAUACCUGGGCCAGCUGAUUGGAGUGAAUCCUUAGUGGAGCUUAUUGACGAAGUGCUUGUGUUGACAAACGUUGAUGGCUGCCUUGUGGUUGACUUGGGCGAGGUGUUUGCCCAAUAUUUGUGUGCGCCUGCUUUGGGAGUUCGUCGUGGGAAAACCACUAUUUUCCAUUCUCCCUCUGUAGGUACUAGUUCACUGCUUGGGGUGGCCUGUGCUUGGGAUUUGUUAUAGGUUGUUACGUGUAUUGGGCUUUGUUGUCUAUGAUUUGGACAUUGGAUAUUGGUAUGGCCAAUUCGUCCACAGAUGGUGCAUAACAUGUUCAACCCUUCAUAGAGAACUUGUUGUCGAUGAUUCCCAAUUAACACAUGGGAUUUUAGUGGGUUUUCAAGCGGAACCUCUAUGCAAAUCCUUUCUUAUCUACCCCUUGUGGUAGAUGAUGUACAUGUAUCGAUUUUAAGUAGUUUACCUAGUUUGUUACCCACCUUUUGGAGAAUUUCUAUAUAAUAGAACUCCGUAGGCAACUCAGGCAGUCGUGACCAAAUUGCUGUAUAGGUAAGUUUUGUUGUUGAAGCUAGGAAUUUUUGUUCCCACCUUCGAAUGGAUAGGAAGUGGUUUAGUACAAAUCAUGGACCUCCAUGUAGUGCUCUAUUCAUGUUUUCCUCCUUUUGGAAUUUGAUAAGGAAAAAUUCAUUCCUUAAAUCAAUUAAAGGCAUUGGUUUUGUAGGUUGCCAUAGUGUUUAGAUUUUUUGUUUGAGGAUUAGAUGACCCACCUUUCUUUCGAAUACUUUGAUGAUUAUUGAAUAUUUUCAAGGGGAAUAGAGUUGAGUUUUAUCUUCUAUGGAUAGUGGAAUGGAAUUUUCCAAAGCUUGCUCUUGUAUGGUUUCAUCGGACAUGUCUAUGUUGUAUUGUGAAUUGGAGAUAGUUGGCAUGCAAUGAUUGUGAUUUUUCAGUAGAGUUUGUACGAAUGAGGGGUGUUGGUUGGUAUUGAUUGGAUCCUCUAUAUUUAUAGUGCUAAUGUCAGGGGGUCAGUUGGCUGGGCAGUGGGAAUGUUAGUCAUAUUAGUGAGUUUCAAAGAUGAUAGUAGGAGAAGGAAGGGAGGGAGGGUAGUGAGAAGCGAGAGUUUCUCUGUCUAUAUUAUUAUGAAAUUGCUUACAAUCUUUUCCCAUAUCCCAUAUACAUAUAUUUAUAUAUAUACGAGUAUAUAAUAUUAUCUGGUCACGGGUCAAUGCACAUGCAUAAAUGGGUGAAAUGCAUGAAAAAUACAUAAAAGUCUCAAUAUUCCUUUCGGAUAAACUUUUUUCAACAGCGUAUUAUUUUGAGACACAUGAACAAACGAUAAUAAUAAUUCACAUGGGAAACUCACGAAUAUUGACACCCCUAGUAUUUCUAUGAAUAGAGUAAUUUAUGGAAACUGUGCGUUUGCUCGUUUCUUCAGCAUAAUUUGGAUCAUGCCAAAAGAAAGAAUGGAUGACCUUAAUAUACCUGGAGUAUUUUGAACGAAAUAUGCUUCUGCUUCCUUGAAUUUUUCAUGAUCGUAAUGAGCUUCUACUCCCCGAAUAGUUUUAAACGAAUUUUUGACUUCUCUACCUUGAAUUAUUUGAACUAAUUUGGACUUUUUUUCCUUGAAUUGUUUUGAACUAGGUGUUAAUGAAAUAAAUUGUUUGUAUACUAGCUUUCAAGUAAGCUUCUGCAAGCUUGGUGUGUGCUUUUGAUUUAUGAGCUACUCACCAGGAAUUUAGUGCCUUUUAACUUCUUGGUUACUAUGAUCUUAUGCUAGUACUUCUUACUUUUCAGUGUUAUUUCCUCUUCUUGGAAUACUAUUGAAGCUAGAAAAUGUUUCUUACUUUUUUAAUUAAGAACAUCUUUUGUUCUUUGUCAAAAAAUAGUAGUAAGCUACUUAUUAAAUGUCAAUUAACUCUUAGGUAGCCGCCUACUCCAAACGUGACUAUGAGUCAUUGUUUGGAAAGUGAUUGGCUGCCACGUUUAUUUUGGGGUAUAAUUUUAUUAAUUUUUAUCCAAUUAUUAGUUAAUUGGGUAAUAUUUCAUUACCCGUAUAAUUUUUAAAUUGCCACAAAUUACUUAAAAUUCUACUUAUUUUUAAUAUACUUCACAUAUACUUUAUACAUUAUACUACCGUGCUCAUAUGGUACCUUGCAUGGUAAUACUCAAUAAUUAUCGGGUAUUUUCACUUGGCCCGUAUUUUAUCCCAAAUUGGUCACUUUCAACGAAACUCAUUUUCUUUAAUUUGUGUACUCUUAUCCUUCAUGACACUUCUUUAUCGCUUGUUAUAAAUAGUGUGACUAUAUUAACCUCAAGAUAAUCUCAUCCCUGAUACUACGUCGAUUAACUAAGGACUACGAAAACACAAGAUGUAAUAGUAAUUGCCUACUGAUUACAAUUAGAAGUGUUUGAACUUAUAGACAUGUUAUCUAUGUAAUUUUAUAGGCAGUUGACAACAGAAAUGAUUAGAUUAAUUACUCCUAUAAGUAUGCUUUCUAGUGGUACUUAGCAAGACACCAUGUUGAAUCCAGUUUUAAUAUUUAUCACAAGUGAUAAUUAUUACUAGGCAUGAAUUCUACUUUUGGUGAUUGAAACUGCUUAUUAAUUCCUAGAGAGAUGCAUAUUAACUUAGCGAGUGUGAAAAUUAACUAGAAACCUAUUGACAUGAUUUCUAAAGGAACAGUUCAGAAUAUGCUAUAAGUUGCAUUUCCUAUAGGCAUGGUACCUAAUCAUGUGAAGCAGAAUAGACAGUAUAAUCACAGAACUUAUUUGAGCCAAAAUGAAAUCUCUAUAGGCAAGACAUCUAACAAGCGAUGGCAGAUGUAAAUAUUUAGACAUGUUUUUAGCAUACAAUUUCUGGGCGUAAAAUAAAACUUAUGAGCAUGUUAUCUAACAUAUAAUAGCACGAAAACCUAUAGGUAUGUUAUCUACCCAUUUUAUUUAGAAUAUCAAAUAAGCCCAUUUCUCAAUUUUAUUAUAACCCCCAAUUAUCAUUACAAAUAAUUAUUACAGAUCGGAAUCAAAUGAAUAAAUUAUAAAGUGUAUAGACUAUAGGAAGCCUGCAGUAGGCCCAAAAACAUCUGGAUAGGCCAGGCCCUUUAAUCCACAAUAACUUCAAAAAGCCAGUGUUCAUAGUGAUCUCAGUGACUGAUGCACCUUUGUUUCAAUGAUAAGCAUACCAAGCCCAAUUCUCUAGUGUGUCAGAGUUCUCAAGGGCUUCACAAACCCCGACCAAUGCUCACACUAGAGUAGAAAGAUCAUAACAAAUUCAAGGAGAACUAUAGACCACAUCCUGGUGUGUCAGAGUUCACGGGGGUAUCAUAAGGACCCUGAGCAGUGCUCACACCAGGAAGACCAAUGGAUAGUACUUAGAGUACUUUGGCUUUCAACAAGCAAAGAAUUAGGAUUCAGAAGACCGCAGGACGAGAUUUUGAUGUACACUUAGGGAUAGAAUCACACACAGAAACAGAGACAAACACUUUGAAACUAAACAUACUUGAAACUAGCUUGUUUGAAACAAGUUGAUAAAGACCAAUUUCUAAACAUGCUUCACAAAGGCAAUAAAGAAUUCAGAUUAGGAUAAGUCAUAUGAGAUCAAUCAUGAGUCAGUAGGCACAUUAGUUAUUAAUAAACAUUAACAAAGAGGAUACAAAAUGGUGAGCACCGGAUCAAGUAAAUAACAUGACAACAGACUUAGCAACAAACUAAUGAGUCUACAUGGUAAAUCAGUGUCAACACAAUUAAUACCAAAUAACAGCCUUAAGUUACAAACAAUUAAAUAGGUUUCAUCAAUUAAUUCACCGAGUUUAAGCAUGUCUAAAACACAUAGAGCAAUGAUUCUAAUAACAGUAGCAUAUUAAACAAGUUACACAGUAGGGAAGUUUCAAUAACUUACUAGUUCAGAUGAAACAGAAAGAAGUUUAAUGAUGCAGCAAUGAUCAUCAACAACUGUUGAUACCCAAUUUUUCCCUAUAUAUUUUUAAUAUUCAUAAAUACUUUCAAAAUAGAAUAUGUAUAUGCAUAUAUAAGCAUGCACAAGGUUUUAUAAUUUUUCUAUAAUUUUAAAGAUUUUAAAUUGAUUUAUUUCUUCCUUUUUCACUUAUAAAAUUUCCAAUAAGUAUCCUUCAAAUUAUUGUUGUGAUAAUUUAAUCAUCUAAAUUCUAUAUUUAUGCCAAAAUAUUUUUAAAAUAUUUUUAGUGUAUUUUUAUAAUUGCAUUUUGUAUUUUUAAAGCUAAUUUGCAUAUAAUUACAAUAUUAGCCUUAUUAGUGUACAAUUACAUUUAUAUGCAUAAUAUUGAUCUCCUAUAUUUUUAAAAUAUUAAAUUUCUAUUUAAAUCAUUUUAAUACACCAAAUUAUUUUUUAGAAAUUAUUUAUUAUUUAUUAUAAAUUAUAUAGUAUUAAAUUAACUAUUUAAAACUUAGCAAAAUUGUAUUUCAAUUGUAACCUCAAUUUAAUCUAGUACCCCACCCCAAUUUCAGAAUAAAGCACCUGACCCAGGCCCUAAAUACCCUUACUCAACCCAGAACACAUCAGAUCAUGGCCGUUGAUCUUUUCAGAUCAACAACCCGUAUUUGUUCUUUCCUUUUUAAUUCUAAACGACCCCCUAACCCUAAUCACUUUUCCAUAUCUGUUUCCCGAAGAUCCUCUCCUCUCUCAAAACACUCUCAACCUAACCCUAAUCUUCAAAGGCCGGCCUCCCAUAUCCGGUGACCUCUCAUCGUCUCUUAAGCUGCCAAUAGCUUCUCUCAUGCCAUGCUUGCCUUCUCUAAGGUCUUCUAGGGCCUAGGGCCAUGCCGACUUGCAUAUAAGGUUUGUCACCCGCCUGUUCUUGGCUACUCCAAUGUGAUUUCAAGCAAAAUCAUGUUGUAUUUGCUACGAUCAUUGGGUUUCUAGACAGGUUUCUUCAUCUCUAUACAGUUUUUUUUUGAAACCCUAAUUUAUUUUCUGCAUCUCCUAUAUCUGUAUCUAGGACGAUUUGAGUUUUUUCUUUAAUGUUUUACACUUUCCUUGAAGUUUUUUUACAAUAAUCGUUGAUUUCAAGUUUAUUUCACCUUCUUCUAAAAAA
rnacentral:lncRNA from 1 species